GAUGAACGCUGGCGGCGUGCUUAACACAUGCAAGUCGAACGGGAAUUAUUUUAUUGAAACUUCGGUCGAUUUAAUUUAAUUCUAGUGGCGGACGGGUGAGUAACGCGUGGGUAACCUGCCUUAUACAGGGGGAUAACAGUCAGAAAUGGCUGCUAAUACCGCAUAAGCGCACAGAGCUGCAUGUCUCAGUGUGAACAACUCCGGUGGUAUAAGAUGGACCCGCGUUGGAUUAGCUGGUUGGUGGGGUAACGGCCCACCAAGGCGACGAUCCAUAGCCGGCCUGAGAGGGUGAACGGCCACAUUGGGACUGAGACACGGCCCAGACUCCUACGGGAGGCAGCAGUGGGGAAUAUUGCACAAUGGGGGAAACCCUGAUGCAGCGACGCCGCGUGAAGGAAGAAGUAUCUCGGUAUGUAAACUUCUAUCAGCAGGGAAGAUAGUGACGGUACCUGACUAAGAAGCCCCGGCUAACUACGUG
rnacentral:rRNA from 1 species